ensembl:lncRNA CD101-AS1 CD101 antisense RNA 1
CCAACCUCCUGCUGCAAGAAUUCCAUUUUUGGCAUUGCCGACGAAUCCUACAUGUUAAAGAACAUCUCUUUGAUGAUAGUCAAGAAAGAAUCUAGACAUUCGCUCACCUCCUGCACUGUGAGCUCCUUGAGGGUUUAUCUUUUAAAAACCGUAUACCUGUUUUACAAGGAUCUCACAAAGAUUAACAAUAUGUAUGCUAUGAAGGAUCCCAUCUGCCUCAGAGAAGAUACGCUUUUCAUCACAGACUGUAUACUUUUUACAGUUCUUAUCUAUUUAUUCUACUGCAAAAACUGCCGAUUCUACAGAGCCUAUUAAUUCCACUGGGAAAACAUGUACGGAAUGUGCUCAUGAGUAUGGGACUUCCUGUAAUUGUUGGAAAGAAGAAAAAGGCUGAUAGAAAAAACAUUUUGGCCUGGCACUCAGGAGAAAACUUCUGCUGAGGAAUGAACAGGGAAAAACAAUGAUGGACCACCUCAAGGAACAAAUCGGAUAGCUUCGACUUCCCCUCUGGAAGCCCUGCUGCGCUGGGAUGCACCUAUCCCUACUUCUUAGAUGUUCCCAUAUGUUCUCAACAGCAUUCUGUCCCUCCUAAGCAGUGUCACUAAAGCUAGCUGGUCUCUUA